rnacentral:rRNA from 1 species
GCGCGGAAGAUGUAACGGGGCUAAACCAUGCACCGAAGCUGCGGCAGCGACACAUAGUGUUGUUGGGUAGGGGAGCGUUCUGUAAGCCUGCGAAGGUGUACUGUGAGGUAUGCUGGAGGUAUCAGAAGUGCGAAUGCUGACAUAAGUAACGAUAAUGCGGGUGAAAAACCCGCACGCCGGAAGACCAAGGGUUCCUGUCCAACGUUAAUCGGGGCAGGGUGAGUCGACCCCUAAGGCGAGGCUGAAAAGCGUAGUCGAUGGGAAACGGGUUAAUAUUCCCGUACUGGUGGUAACUGCGAUGGGGGAACGGAGAAGGCUAGGUUGUCCGGGCGACGGUCGUCCCGGUUCAAGCAGGUAGGCAGAGUGAUUAGGCAAAUCCGGUCACUUAAUGCUGAGAUGUGAUGACGAACCACCAAGGUGGUGAAGCAAUUGAUGCCCCGCUUCCAGGAAAAGCCUCUAAGCUUCAGGUUACCAACAAUCGUACCCCAAACCGACACAGGUGGUCAGGUAGAGAAUACUCAGGCGCUUGAGAG